rnacentral:rRNA from 1 species
AACCUCCGCAAUGUGAGAAAUCGCGACGGGGGGAUCCCAAGUGCCAUUCUUAACGGGAUGGCUUUUCAUUAGUGUAAAGAGCUUUUGGAAUAAGGGCUGGGCAAGACCGGUGCCAGCCGCCGCGGUAACCCGGCAGCUCUAGUGGUAGCAGUUUUUAUUGGGCCUAAAGCGUCCGUAGCCGGUUUAAUAAGUCUCUGGUGAAAUCCUGUAGCUUAACUGUGGGAAUUGCUGGAGAUACUAUUAGACUUGAGACCGGGAGAGGUUAGAGGUACUCCCAGGGUAGAGGUGAAAUUCUGUAAUCCUGGGAGGACCGCCUGUUGCGAAGGCGUCUAACUGGAACGGUUCUGACGGUGAGGGACGAAAGUUAGGGGCGCGAACCGGAUUAGAUACCCGGGUAGUCCUAACUGUAAACGAUGCGGACUUGGUGUUGGGGUGGCUUUGAGCUGCUUCAGUGCCGAAGGGAAGCUGUUAAGUCCGCCGCCUGGGAAGUACGGUCGCAAGACUGAAACUUAAAGGAAUU